UACGUAGGGGGCUAGCGUUGUCCGGAAUCAUUGGGCGUAAAGCGCGUGUAGGCGGCUUGACAAGUCUGCUGUGAAAGUCCAGGGCUCAACCCUGGAAUGCCGGUGGAAACUGUCAAGCUAGAGUCCGGAAGAGGAGAGUGGAAUUCCUGGUGUAGCGGUGAAAUGCGCAGAUAUCAGGAAGAACACCCGUGGCUAAGGCGGCUCUCUAGUACGGUACUGACGCUGAGACGCGAAAGCGUGGGGAGCGAACAGG
rnacentral:rRNA from 1 species